rnacentral:tRNA from 1 species
GUCCCCGUAGCUCAGCGGAUUAGAGCGUAUGGUUGCGGUCCAUAAGGCCGCAGGUUCGAGUCCUGCCGGGGACGCCA